UACGUAGGGGGGCAAGCGUUGUCCGGAAUCAUUGGGCGUAAAGCGCGUGUAGGCGGCUCGGUAAGUCCGCUCUGAAAGUCCAGGGCUCAACCCUGGGAUGCGGGUGGAUACUGCCGGGCUCGAGUCCGGAAGAGGCGAGUGGAAUUCCUGGUGUAGCGGUGGAAUGCGCAGAUAUCAGGAGGAACACCAAUGGCGAAGGCAGCUCUCUGGUACGUGACUGACGCUGAGACGCGAAAGCGUGGGGAGCGAACAGG
rnacentral:rRNA from 1 species